CUUUAGGUCCUCAGGAACCAACAGUCCACAAAUCUCCAUGAUGAUUGGGGUCUCCCUCCUUCUCACCCUCCUUACUCUCUGCUCAGGGUCCUGGGCACAGUCUGGGCUGAGUCAGGAAGCCUUCAUGUCUGGUUCUAUUGGACAAGAAGUCACCCUCAUCUGUACUGGAAGUGGUGGUGGUGUUGGACUAGAUGAUGCAUCCUGGCACAAAGAAAUUCCUGGUGAUGUACCCAAAUUUGUGACAAUUGGCUAUUCCCGGCCCUUUAGCAAUACAUAUUCCCUAACUAUGACAGACCUCAAGCCUGAAGAUGAGGCCAGUUAUUACUGUUCAACAUGGGACAGUAGCACAAAUGCUCACACAGUGCUCCAGAUGCCUGGGGAACUGAAACUAAAACAUUCCCCUGACCUUCACUAGCCUGCUCAGGCCAUGGCAAUCUAGCAGUUAAAGUGUGCGACUAUGAGGACCAGUGUCCCUGUUAUUACAUCAGAUUCUCAGAGGACAGAUCAGCCUUAUGUGAUAGGGACAGUUAGCAAUCUUCAUGUGGUUGGAUCUUAACUUCUUUAUUGAGAUAUACUAUCCAAGAGACCAACUGUUGCCAAAUGUGCAGUAAAAUUCUUCUUUUCAUAUUUCUACAGUGUUGCAAAUUUCACAUAACAUAAACUAAGAAUAUACCUUAAACAGAAAUAAUUAUUAAUUAGAAGGACAGCAGAUUAUAGUAAUUUUGGCUUUCAACUACACUUUUUUUUGCAUCACUUUUGGUAUUUUUAGGAAAAUGUCUACUAGUUUGCUGUUUUAGACACUGCUCAGACAUAAUUUUGUACUAUCAGGUAAUUAUUAUCUUUAACUUGAAUUGUAUGGAUACACUACUGGUGGCUCACCUUUAACUGAGUUAGAGGUAUUUGGUUUGAAUUUUUUGUAUUUGUAAGUAUUUUUAUUAUAGAUGCCAACCUACAAUUUUCAAGUACUUCUGUGGACAUACCCUUUGGGGACAGAUAACCAGG